rnacentral:rRNA from 1 species
GACGCGACCUCAGCUCAGGCGGGGCUACCCGCUGAGUUUAAGCAUAUCAAUAAGCGGASGAAARAAAA